UACAGAGGUGGCGAGCGUUAUUCGGAAUUAUUGGGCGUAAAGGGCGCGUAGGCGGCUUGACAAGUCCCGGGUGAAAUCCCUCGGCUCAACCGAGGAACUGCCUUGGAAACUGUCUGGCUUGAGGCCGGGAGAGGGUAGUGGAAUUCCCAGUGUAGCGGUGAAAUGCGUAGAUACUGGGAGGAACACCGGUGGCGAAGGCGGCUCUCUGGGCCUUUCCUGACGCUGAGACGCGAAAGCGUGGGGAGCGAACCGG
rnacentral:rRNA from 1 species